GCCGCCAUGGUGAAAUUGGUAUACACGUACGCUUGAGGUGCGUAUGCCGAAAGGUGUGGAGGUUCAAGUCCUCUUGGCGGCA
rfam:Candidatus Shapirobacteria bacterium CG2_30_35_20 cg2_3.0_scaffold_11992_c, whole genome shotgun sequence.